GGUGAGUCCUCUCUCUUGCUCUUGCUUGCUUGCACUGAUGAAGUAAGCUGCCACGUUGUGAGAUGCUCAACGAAGAGGCCCAUGAGGCAGGGCACCGAGGGAGGCUUCUGGCCAACAGCUCCUGGGGAACCAAGGCCUUAGGAAGUGAGUCCUGCCAACAAUAACGAGAGCCUUGAACUUUGAAACCACAGUACCUUGUUCCAGCGUGGAAAGCAGCGUGGCACUUCCCGGUGGUGAAAGCACCCCAGCUUGAAAGGGUGAAAACACCUUCUCCCAGAUAGUCUCCCUUUGUUUAGCCAGUGCUUUUGCCUUAAGGAAAUCAAAUGAAGGGGUCAGCCAGGAGUGGAUCUGGAAGCUGGAGAACUCUCAAUACGCCACUUCAGUUUAUUGACGACAUUUAUAAUUGCAACCGAAGUUGACUGAUUUCUGCUAAAUGAAAGUUUGCGCUUUGCCCUUUAGCAUUGAGGCUCCUGGAAAGAACUUCAAUGAAAUUGGAUGCAUUGAGACCAAAGAAAAGAAGGGGACAUUUUUAUCUCUCUGAUACCUUUCUCCCCAGGGCUUGGAAACACUUCUUAAACACAACCUCUAAUGUUGGUGUUUUAUUUGAGGCUUAAGCAACUUCUUCCGGGGAAGAGUGCCAGUGCAGCCACUGUUACAAUUCAAGAUCUUGAUCUAUAUCCAUAGAUUGGAAUAU
rnacentral:lncRNA from 1 species